CUUUUUUCAGGCUUAGGCACAAGUGGUGCGUUCGGUAGUGGAAGUUCACUGUUUGGUGGGUCAAACUUAAGUUUUGGGAGCAGUUCGACUGCUUUCAAGCCUCUAGGUAAAUAGUGGUAGUUAUCCAGGCGGAAGUGGACUGAGCACGAGUACGUUUGGAAGCACAGCUCCAGGAACACCUCUUCCAGUGCAAAAUGAAACUUUUCAGCUUCAGAAACCACCACUAGGCAACAAACGAGGAAAACGGUGGACAAGUGCUUGAAAUACUGUUUAUUAUACAUUUGAAUUGAAAGUUAGAUUGCUUGGGUAGUUUUCUUGUACUGAUUUAGUAAUAAAAACAAAUUAUAACAUUGCCA